rnacentral:rRNA from 3 species
ACUAAGCGUACACGGUGGAUGCCCUGGCAGUCAGAGGCGAUGAAGGACGUGCUAAUCUGCGAUAAGCGUCGGUAAGGUGAUAUGAACCGUUAUAACCGGCGAUUUCCGAAUGGGGAAACCCAGUGUGAUUCGUCACACUAUCAUUAACUGAAUCCAUAGGUUAAUGAGGCGAACCGGGGGAACUGAAACAUCUAAGUACCCCGAGGAAAAGAAAUCAACCGAGAUUCCCCCAGUAGCGGCGAGCGAACGGGGAGGAGCCCAGAGCCUGAAUCAGUGUGUGUGUUAGUGGAAGCGUCUGGAAAGGCGCGCGAUACAGGGUGACAGCCCCGUACACAAAAAUGCACAUGCUGUGAGCUCGAUGAGUAGGGCGGGACACGUGGUAUCCUGUCUGAAUAUGGGGGGACCAUCCUCCAAGGCUAAAUACUCCUGACUGACCGAUAGUGAACCAGUACCGUGAGGGAAAGGCGAAAAGAACCCCGGCGAGGGGAGUGAAAAAGAACCUGAAACCGUGUACGUACAAGCAGUGGGAGCACAGAGCAAUCUGUGUGACUGCGUACCUUUUGUAUAAUGGGUCAGCGACUUAUAUUCUGUAGCAAGGUUAACCGAAUAGGGGAGCCGAAGGGAAACCGAGUCUUAACCGGGCGUUAAGUUGCAGGGUAUAGACCCGAAACCCGGUGAUCUAGCCAUGGGCAGGUUGAAGGUUGGGUAACACUAACUGGAGGACCGAACCGACUAAUGUUGAAAAAUUAGCGGAUGACUUGUGGCUGGGGGUGAAAGGCCAAUCAAACCGGGAGAUAGCUGGUUCUCCCCGAAAGCUAUUUAGGUAGCGCCUCGUGAAUUCAUCUCCGGGGGUAGAGCACUGUUUCGGCAAGGGGGUCAUCCCGACUUACCAACCCGAUGCAAACUGCGAAUACCGGAGAAUGUUAUCACGGGAGACACACGGCGGGUGCUAACGUCCGUCGUGAAGAGGGAAACAACCCAGACCGCCAGCUAAGGUCCCAAAGUCAUGGUUAAGUGGGAAACGAUGUGGGAAGGCCCAGACAGCCAGGAUGUUGGCUUAGAAGCAGCCAUCAUUUAAAGAAAGCGUAAUAGCUCACUGGUCGAGUCGGCCUGCGCGGAAGAUGUAACGGGGCUAAACCAUGCACCGAAGCUGCGGCAGCGACACUGUGUGUUGUUGGGUAGGGGAGCGUUCUGUAAGCCUGUGAAGGUGUGCUGUGAGGCAUGCUGGAGGUAUCAGAAGUGCGAAUGCUGACAUAAGUAACGAUAAAGCGGGUGAAAAGCCCGCUCGCCGGAAGACCAAGGGUUCCUGUCCAACGUUAAUCGGGGCAGGGUGAGUCGACCCCUAAGGCGAGGCCGAAAGGCGUAGUCGAUGGGAAACAGGUUAAUAUUCCUGUACUUGGUGUUACUGCGAAGGGGGGACGGAGAAGGCUAUGUUGGCCGGGCGACGGUUGUCCCGGUUUAAGCGUGUAGGCUGGUUUUCCAGGCAAAUCCGGAAAAUCAAGGCUGAGGCGUGAUGACGAGGCACUACGGUGCUGAAGCAACAAAUGCCCUGCUUCCAGGAAAAGCCUCUAAGCAUCAGGUAACAUCAAAUCGUACCCCAAACCGACACAGGUGGUCAGGUAGAGAAUACCAAGGCGCUUGAGAGAACUCGGGUGAAGGAACUAGGCAAAAUGGUGCCGUAACUUCGGGAGAAGGCACGCUGAUAUGUAGGUGAAGUCCCUCGCGGAUGGAGCUGAAAUCAGUCGAAGAUACCAGCUGGCUGCAACUGUUUAUUAAAAACACAGCACUGUGCAAACACGAAAGUGGACGUAUACGGUGUGACGCCUGCCCGGUGCCGGAAGGUUAAUUGAUGGGGUCAGCGCAAGCGAAGCUCUUGAUCGAAGCCCCGGUAAACGGCGGCCGUAACUAUAACGGUCCUAAGGUAGCGAAAUUCCUUGUCGGGUAAGUUCCGACCUGCACGAAUGGCGUAAUGAUGGCCAGGCUGUCUCCACCCGAGACUCAGUGAAAUUGAACUCGCUGUGAAGAUGCAGUGUACCCGCGGCAAGACGGAAAGACCCCGUGAACCUUUACUAUAGCUUGACACUGAACAUUGAGCCUUGAUGUGUAGGAUAGGUGGGAGGCUUUGAAGUGUGGACGCCAGUCUGCAUGGAGCCGACCUUGAAAUACCACCCUUUAAUGUUUGAUGUUCUAACGUGGACCCGUGAUCCGGGUUGCGGACAGUGUCUGGUGGGUAGUUUGACUGGGGCGGUCUCCUCCUAAAGAGUAACGGAGGAGCACGAAGGUUGGCUAAUCCUGGUCGGACAUCAGGAGGUUAGUGCAAUGGCAUAAGCCAGCUUGACUGCGAGCGUGACGGCGCGAGCAGGUGCGAAAGCAGGUCAUAGUGAUCCGGUGGUUCUGAAUGGAAGGGCCAUCGCUCAACGGAUAAAAGGUACUCCGGGGAUAACAGGCUGAUACCGCCCAAGAGUUCAUAUCGACGGCGGUGUUUGGCACCUCGAUGUCGGCUCAUCACAUCCUGGGGCUGAAGUAGGUCCCAAGGGUAUGGCUGUUCGCCAUUUAAAGUGGUACGCGAGCUGGGUUUAGAACGUCGUGAGACAGUUCGGUCCCUAUCUGCCGUGGGCGCUGGAGAACUGAGGGGGGCUGCUCCUAGUACGAGAGGACCGGAGUGGACGCAUCACUGGUGUUCGGGUUGUCAUGCCAAUGGCACUGCCCGGUAGCUAAAUGCGGAAGAGAUAAGUGCUGAAAGCAUCUAAGCACGAAACUUGCCCCGAGAUGAGUUCUCCCUGACCCUUUAAGGGUCCUGAAGGAACGUUGAAGACGACGACGUUGAUAGGCCGGGUGUGUAAGCGCAGCGAUGCGUUGAGCUAACCGGUACUAAUGAACCGUGAGGCUUAACC